UUCAGAUGCCGCGCUACAAGCUUUAAACUUUGAACAAGAUGGAAGUCAAAACCACCCAAUAGUUUUCCUGAAAUUACAGAAGAAGACUCAUCAAGCGUUAUUCCUCAAGAAGAAAUGUUGAAGGUGAGCGCGCUUAAAGAGGCCAAGAAAUUUCCCUUUGAGGCAGCUGCAGUUGGAAGCAAGCGCAUUAAGCACAGCGAUUUUGAACAGCCCUGCGCGUCCAAAUCUCUUAUUGCACAAAACCAGCCGGCACUAAAAAAGGCCAAAAAGUCUACCUCUAAAACAGCAUUCGUUUUCAG